CCUGCUGCUUACACUUUUUCGACACUAGAUGCUGCCAGUAGGAGUGUACCUGAGGCGACAGGUGUUGUGCAUCUACUCAUCAGCUGGGAAGCAUAUAGAGGAAGGUUGCCAACACCUCAGUGCCUGAGUGUUUUUUCCUCCGUGGUAAUUUCUGGCCAGUUCUGAAAUCUUUGUGUGAAUCCUACCUGAUCUGUUCCAGUCCUUUGUAGUGGCUAAGGCUACUUCCUGAUCUAGUCUGUGCAUGGCAAGCUGAACUCCUUUCCUGACAUUUAUUCUCUCCCUGUAAUGAAGAUUAGACUCGUCGCUCCUGUUGUUCCUGAUCAAUCUUUCAAUAAAAACUUAUUCCUUUUACAAAGUUCUCUGGGAGUCUCUGCUUGUGGGUUAAGUUGGCUGUAAAAAUCAUGACAUCUGGUUGCAAAUGAUUUUGGAAGCCUGUGCUUGGAUCUAUGUCACUGAGUUUCUGACUUCGUUCCUGGAAGUUAUUGUGGAUGAUCAAGCCUAUCUUCGUUCUGAGGAUUCCUAUCCUGUCAUCUGCCUUUGUUUUGGAUUCGUAUCAAGCUGGCAGCUUCCUGUCCUCUCUGUCUCCUGAGCCAAGCCACAAGCGUACCCUGUCCACCCUUCAACAUAAACCACCGCACAUCAAACUUGUUUCUUUGUUCCGAGCUCACACAGAACAGCAGCAAGUGAACUCUCUCAGAAUCAGAAUCAGAAUCAGCUAUAUUGCCAAGUUCGUACAGACAAACAAGGAA